UGAUUUUUUUAGUAUUUCGACAUCGCGAUUAGUAUUGUAAUAUUAUAAUUUUUUGUUGAGAAUCUUUUGAGAGAUUUUUGUAAAAAUUGAGAGUUAGAAACCGACUUGUUUUUAUAUUUUAAAAGUUGAUUUUGUAUGAUUUUCACGAGAGUUUUUUAGCCACUCUGGAUUAUCUUGGCUGCCGUUCAGGCAAGAAGAGCAGUAACUUAUCAUCUCACUAUUCCAACUAUCGUUCUAUUUUUCGGAUUUCCGAUAUAGAUGGAUUCCGUGUUAUCAAAAUUGGCAAACUAAUUUUUAUAUUCGUAUUGUAUUAUUUAGUCUAUGAAAUAAACUAUUGACAUAGUUGAGAUAAUAAAAAUAUUUUUGACACCUUCCUGUAGUGUAUAUUGAGACAUAUAUAUUUUUCACUAUUAAUAUUAUGUGAUAUUGUCUUGAAUGUCAAUAGAGAUGUUCGAAAAAAAAAAAAAGAAAAAAAGAAGAAAUAAAAGAUUAAAAAAAAAAGAGAAAAUCCCUCUCGUUUCAGAAAAAAAAAAAAAAAAAAAAAAAAAAAAAGAGGGGAAAAGGAAAAGAAAAAGUUAACCAAAAAAAAAAAAAAAAAAAAGAAAAGGAAAAAAAAAAAAAAGAAGGAAACAAACAAAAAAAAAGGAAAAAAAGAGAAAGAUGGGAAAGAAAGCCAAAAAAUAAUGAAUAAAAAUCUUUGUCAUUUCAAAAUAAAAUAAGGGAAGAUUUAACAAAUAGCUAUCAAAUACUUAAAUUCCUUAUAGAGCCUUAUAAGGAAUCGAUGAUAAUUCCCUUUUUAGAGGUUUAUUGAAUUUUGUUUCCAAAAUGAUACUGAUUCUUGGAUCCCUCAUAAAUUGGAGUCCAAGAUGUAAGUGGGUUUUUUUUUUGAGGAGGAACUAUGAAAGAAAAAAGAAGAAGUUGGGAGGAUAAAAAAGAGAAGCAGAACGAGAAUACAGAACAUGUCGAAGAAAAAAAAGAAGGUAAAAAAAAUAAAAUAAUAAUAAUUUUUCUUUUCUUUUUUUUUUCUCCCACGUGUGCCAAAAGCGACACUCCCCUCCCCCGCUCGUCACCAACCAAGGGAAGGGCUGUGUGUGCUCACAGCACACCCCCCCAACCCGUACAAGAGAAAGAAAGAAAGGCUCGGCUACUUUAUUUUGCCGGCGGCGGACGAACAAGUCGACGACAAACGGGUGACGACAUCUCGACAAAUGGCGCGCUAACGACUGACUUCGGCGACGCCGCAAAGGCCAUUUAGCGGCCUCUUUCAUUUUCUUUGUCUACGGACGGCGAGUGGUCAGUUUAUACGCGUAAACGAUAUAGUCGCGACUUUAAUGUCGGUUUGAUCAAUCACGACCGCGUCUCCGUGAUAGGUCGAUCCGAUCAAAAUCAUUUGACAUUCAAAUCGAUUACUAUACGUCAUGCCCCGAAGGUAUUCAUAUAAAGCCGCGUCUCCCCUUUUUCAACAUCAAAGAAAGAUGUGCGCCACGGAGCGACGCGACUGUGACGGACUCCUUGUAUCGGAUUGAUGAGGCGGCCCGUCUUCGGUGAUAGGCUCGAACACUUUCAAUCUGCGACAUUGGGGAUCGUUUGCCCUAUGGACGUAGAUCAUACCGUGAGCGGCCGUCUUCGUGAUAGGCUCGAGCGAACGGGCGUGAACUUUCGAUCUCGGCCGAAAAUGGAAAACAAAAAUAAAAUAAUAAAAAAAAAUGGAUAUACAAAUUUUUUCUGCCGUCGGCCGAGAUUCUGAUAGUUGACCCGAGUUCGGAUCAUAACCGGGUCGGGCCGUCUUCGUGAUAGGGCUUGACUCGGUGGUCGGAUCAUUAAACCGGGGUCGCCGUCUUCGUGGAUAGCUUGACUCGGGGGUUCGGAAUCAUUAAACCUGGGUCGCGUCUUCGUCGAUAGCUGGACUCGGAUUCGGUUAAUUAACGGGCGCCGUGUGAUAUGGCUUGUACCCGGUCCGGUUCGAAACAGUCUCUUGUGAUGAGCUGACGGCCGUCGGUUCCGGGUCGGCCGUCUCGUGAUAGGCUUGACCCGGGCGGAUCGGUUCAUUAAACCGGGUCGCCGUCUUCGUGAUAGGCUUGACUCGGGUUCGGAUCAUUAAACCGGGUCGCCGUCUUCGUGAUAGGCUUGACUCGGGUUCGGUUAAUUAAACCGGGUCGCCGUCUUCGCGAUAGGCUUGACCCGGGUUCGGUUAAUUAAACCGGGUCGUCGUCUUCGUGAUAGGCUUGACCCGAGUUCGGAUCAUUAAACCGGGUCGCCGUCUUCGUGAUAGGCUUGACUCGGGUUCGAUUAAUUAAACCGGGUCGCCGUCUUCGUGAUAGGCUUGACUCGGGUUCGGUUAAUUAAACCGGGUCGCCGUCUUCGUGAUAGGCUUGACCCGGGUUCGGUUCAUUAAACCGGGCCGCCGUCUUCGUGAUAGGCUUGACCCGAGUCCGACUAAUUAAACCGGGUCGCCGUCUUCGUGAUAGGCUUGACCCGAGUCGCCGUCUUCGUGAUAGGCUUGACCCGAGUUCGGUUCAAUUAAACCGGGUCGUCGUCUUCGUGAUAGACUAGACCCGAGUCAACUAAACCAUAAUGAUAAAUCAAAUUGGAUUAUAAGCCGAUCAAGUCUAAUCAAUAAGUCUAAUUGAACCAUUAAAGACAUUAACCAAACCAAAUCAAACUACAAGCUAGUUUGACUUGAACCAAACCAUGAAGGAUCCAACCCGAACUAAAAUGGGUCCGAUCCGAAUCAAACCACAAGGGAUUUGACUUAAACCGAAGCGGAUCCGAUCCAAGCUGAACCGAACCGGAUCCCGUCUGAACCAAAUUAUAAUGGAUUCAACUUGAUCCGAAGUGGAUCUAAUCCGGACAGAACCAUAAAGGAUUCAACUUGAACUAAAGUGAAUCCGAUCCAAUCCGAACCGAACCGGAUCCGAACUGAACCGAAUCAUAAAGGAUUCGACUUGAACCGAUGCUGAUCCGAUCCAAGUUGAACCGAACCGGAUCCCGUUUGAACCAAAUCAUAAUGGAUUUGACUUGAACUCGAACCGAAGCGAAUUCGAUCCGACUCGAACCUAAGUGGAUCCGAUCCGAACCAAGCCGGAAAGGAUCUGACUUGAACCGAACCGGAUCCGAAUCGAACCAGAUCCUGUCUGAACCGAACCGAACAUGAUCCAACUUGAACCAAAGUGAAUCCGAUCCAAUCCGAACCGAACCGGAUCCGAACUGAACCGAAUCAUAAAGGAUUCGACUUGAACCGAUGCUGAUCCGAUCCAAGUUGAACCGAACCGGAUCCCGUUUGAACCAAAUCAUAAUGGAUUUGACUUGAACUCGAACCGAAGCGAAUUCGAUCCGACUCGAACCUAAGUGGAUCCGAUCCGAACCAAGCCGGAAAGGAUCCGACUUGAACCGUACCGGAUCCGAAUCGGACCAGAUCCUGUCUGAACCGAACCGAACAGGAUCCAACUUGAACAAAAGUGAAUCCGAACUGAACCGAACCGAAUCCGGUCCGAACUAAACCAAAGUAAAUCCAAUCCAAUCAGAACCAUAAAGGAUCCAACUCGAACUGAAGUAGGUCCAAUCUGAACUGAACAGGAUCCAACUUGAACCGACUCGAGCUAAAUUCGGUUCAACCCGAUUAGGAUCCGACUCGAACUGAAGCGGGUCCAACCCGAACAGAACAAGAUCCGAUUUGAACCGACUUGAGUUGAAUUCGGUUCAAUCCGAUCAAGGUCCGACUCGAACCAAGGUCGGUCCGACCCGAAUCAAACUAUGAAGAAUCCGAUUCGAACCAAAUCAUGAAAGACCCGACUCGAAUCGAACCAUGAAGAAUCUGACUUGAACCGAACUAAAGCAUAACGGUUCAACUCAAACCAAGUNGAUAAAAAAGAGAAGCAGAAAGAAGAAUACAAACAGUGAAGAAAAAAAAAGAAGGUAAAAAAAAUAAUAAUAAUAAUAAUUUUUCUUUUCUUUUUUUUCUUCUCUCCACGUGUGCACACAAGGCGACACUCCCCUCCCCCGCUCGUCACCAACCAAGGGAAGGGGCUGUGGUGUGCUCACAGCACACCCCCCCAACCCGUACAAGAAAGAAGAAAGGCUCGGCUACUUUAUUUUGCGGCGGCGCGACGACAACGACGACAACGGUGACGACAUCGACAAUGGCGCGCUAACGACGACUUCGACGACGCGCAAAGAGGCCAUUUAGCGGCCUCUUUUCUUUUUCUUUUCUACGACGGCGAUGGGUAGUUGUAUACGCGUAAACGAUAUAGUCGCGAUUUUAUGUCGGUUUGAUCAACACGACCGUCUCCGUGAUAGGUCGAUCCGAUCAAAUUUGACAUUCAAUCGUUACUAUAUCAUGCGCGCGUAUUCAUUAAGCCCGUCUCCCUCAACAUCAAAAGAAAAGAUUGUGCGCACGAGCGACGCGACGGUGACGAUCCUUGUAUCGGAUUGAUUGAGCGGCCGUCUUCGUGAUAGGCUCGACACUUUCAAUCUCGACAUUGGAUCGUUGCCCUCAUCGGACGUAUGAUCAUACCGAGCGGCCGUCUUCGUGAUAGGCUCGACACGGUUGAACUUCGAUUCGGACCAAAAUGAGAACAACAAAAAUAAAAUAAUAAAAAAAAAUGAUAACAAAUAUUUUUCUCGGGUCGCCGUCUUCGUGAUAGGCUUGACCCGAGUUCGGAUCAUUAAACCGGGUCGCCGUCUUCGUGAUAGGCUUGACUCGGGUUCGGAUCAUUAAACCGGGUCGCCGUCUUCGUGAUAGGCUUGACUCGAGUUCGGUUUAUUAAACCGGGUCGCCGUCUUCGUGACAGGCUUGACCCGGGAUCGGUUAAUUAAACCGGGUCGCCGUCUUCGCGAUAGGCUUGACCCGGGUUCGGUUAAUUAAACCGGGUCGUCGUCUUCGUGAUAGGCUUGACCCGAGUUCGGUUCAUUAAACCGGGUUGCCGUCGUGAUAGGCCUGACUCGGGUUUGGAUCAUUAAAUCGGGUCGCCGUCUUCGCGAUAGGCUUGACCCGAGUUCGAUUCAUUAAACCGGGUUGCCGUCGUGAUAGGCCUGACUCGGGUUUGGAUCAUUAAAUCGGGUCGCCGUCUUCGCGAUAGGCUUGACCCGAGUUCAGUUCAUUAAACCGGGCCGCCGUCUUCGUGAUAGGCUUGACCCGAGUCCGACUAAUUAAACCGGGUCGCCGUCUUCGUGAUAGGCUUGACCCGAGUCGCCGUCUUCGUGAUAGGCUUGACCCGAGUUCGGUUCAAUUAAACCGGGUCGUCGUCUUCGUGAUAGACUAGACCCGAGUCAACUAAACCAUAAUGAUAAAUCAAAUUGGAUUAUAAGCCGAUCAAGUCUAAUCAAUAAGUCUAAUUGAACCAUUAAAGACAUUAACCAAACCAAAUCAAACUACAAGCUAGUUUGACUUGAACCAAACCAUGAAGGAUCCAACCCGAACUAAAAUGGGUCCGAUCCGAAUCAAACCACAAGGGAUUUGACUUAAACCGAAGCGGAUCCGAUCCAAGCUGAACCGAACCGGAUCCCGUCUGAACCAAAUUAUAAUGGAUUCAACUUGAUCCGAAGUGGAUCUAAUCCGGACAGAACCAUAAAGGAUUCAACUUGAACUAAAGUGAAUCCGAUCCAAUCCGAACCGAACCGGAUCCGAACUGAACCGAAUCAUAAAGGAUUCGACUNCUUAAGCGAAGCCAAGCUCAAGUUCAGUUUAGGUAAUACUAAACCAAGUUUGCCCUAGGCCAAGCCAAGUUGAACCUAGCCUAGUCGUAGCCAAGUUCAGCUUAGGAAAUACUAAGCCAAGUCAAGCCUAGGCCAAGCCAAGCCUAACCUAGCCUAAGUGAAACCAAGUUCAACCUAGUACAAGCCAAGCCAAGUCUGUCCUAGACCAAGCUAAGCCUAGGCCAAGCCAAGUUCAGUCUAGGAAAGGCCGAACCAAGCCUAGCCUAGGUGAAUCCAAGCUCAGCCUAGCUUAAGCGAAGCCAAGCUCAAGUUCAGUUUAGGUAAUACUAAACCAAGUUUGCCCUAGGCCAAGCCAAGUUGAACCUAGCCUAGUCGUAGCCAAGUUCAGCUUAGGAAAUACUAAGCCAAGUCAAGCCUAGGCCAAGCCAAGCCUAACCUAGCCUAAGUGAAAUCAAGUUCAACUUAGGAAAUACCAAGACAGGCCUAAUCUAGGUGAAGCCUAGUUCAACUUAGGUAAUAUUAAACCAAGUCUGCCCUAGGCCAAGCCAAGUCGAACCUAGCCUAGGCGAAGCCAAAUUCAGUUUAGGGAACACCAAACUAAGCCUAGCCUGGGUAAAAUCAAGCCCAACCUAGGAAGUACCAAACCAAGUUCAGUUUGAUCGAACAUCAAACUAAACCAAACCAAUUACAGAAAUUACCAAGUUAAUCUGAAUAACUAAUCUGAACUAGCCGAAUAUUAGGUUAAACUAAAUAGUAAUACCAAAUCAACUGAGCCCAGAUCAGAUAGUGCUUCUGCUGCUGGGCCAAAUUAACUUGGCUUGAGCCCAGUUCGGAUAGUGCUUCUGCCGCUGAGCCCAGUUCGGAUAGUGCUUCUGCCGCUGGGCCAAAUUAAUCAGCCUGAGCCCAGUUCGGAUAGUGCUUCUGCCGCCGGGCCAAAUUACUUGGCUUGGGCCCAGUUCGGAUAGUGCUUCUGCCGCUGGGCCAAAUUAAUUGGCUUGGGCUCAGUUCGGAUAGUGCUUCUGCCGCUGGGCCAAAUUAAUUAGCUUGGGCUCAGUUCGGAUAGUGCUUCUGCCGCUGGGCCAAAUUACUAGGCUUGAGCCCAGUUCGGAUAGUGCUUCUGCUGCUGGGCCAAAUUAAUUGGCUUGGGCCCAGUUCGGAUAGCGCUUCUGCCGCUGGGCCAAAUUAAUUGGCUUGGGCUCAGUUCGGAUAGUGCUUCUGCCGCUGGGCCAAAUUACUAGGCUUGGGCUCAGUUCGGAUAGUGCUUCUGCCGCUGGGCCAAAUUAGAUCCGACUCGAACCUAAGUGGAUCCGAUCCGAACCAAGCCGGAAAGGAUCCGACUUGAACCGUACCGGAUCCGAAUCGGACCAGAUCCUGUCUGAACCGAACCGAACAGGAUCCAACUUGAACAAAAGUGAAUCCGAACUGAACCGAACCGAAUCCGGUCCGAACUAAACCAAAGUAAAUCCAAUCCAAUCAGAACCAUAAAGGAUCCAACUCGAACUGAAGUAGGUCCAAUCUGAACUGAACAGGAUCCAACUUGAACCGACUCGAGCUAAAUUCGGUUCAACCCGAUUAGGAUCCGACUCGAACUGAAGCGGGUCCAACCCGAACAGAACAAGAUCCGAUUUGAACCGACUUGAGUUGAAUUCGGUUCAAUCCGAUCAAGGUCCGACUCGAACCAAGGUCGGUCCGACCCGAAUCAAACUAUGAAGAAUCCGAUUCGAACCAAAUCAUGAAAGACCCGACUCGAAUCGAACCAUGAAGAAUCUGACUUGAACCGAACUAAAGCAUAACGGUUCAACUCAAACCAAGUUUUGAUGGGUCCCGAACCUAAGCAUAACGGUUCAACCCAAACCAAGUCUUGAUGGGUUCCGAACCAAAGCAUAACGGUUCAGCCCAAACCAAACCUGAAAGGGGUAAACCAAAUGAAAACCUAAGGCGGUUCAUCCCAAAUCAAAUACAAGGGGUUUAAGCCAAUCCAAACCCAAAAUCCACAAAUAAAUCCCAAAACCCAAAAUCCACAAAUAAAUCCCAAAACCCAAAGUCCACAAAUCAAACCUCAAAAUCCAAAGCCUCUCAAAUCCAAAUGACCGAAAAGUCGUUAAACUAAACCCAAAUUCCAAACGACCGAAAUGUCGCUAAACUAAACCCAAAUUCAAACGACCGAAAUGUCGCUAAACUAAACCCAUAUUCAAACGACCGAAAUGUCGCUAAACUAAACCCAAAUUCAAACGACCGAAAUGUCGCUAAACUAAACCCGAAUUCAAACGACCGAAAUGUCGCUAAACUAAACCCGAAUUCAAACGACCGAAAAGUCGUUAAACUAAACCCAAAUUUCAAACGACCGAAAAGUCGUUAAACUAAAUCCAAAUUUCAAACGACCGAAAAGUCGUUAAACUAAACCCAAACCCAUGAACCAUAUCCAAGUUCAUGAACCAAAUCCAUACACCAAACCCAUGAACCAUAUCCAAGUUUAUGAACCAAAUUCAUACACCAAAUCCAUGAACCAUAUCCAAGUUCAUAAACCAAAUCCAUACACCAAACCCGUGAACCAUAUCCAAGUUCAUGAAUCAAAUCCAUACACCAAACCCAUGAACCAUAUUCAAGUUCAUGAACCAAAUCCAUACACCGAAUUCAUGAACCAUAUCCAAGUUCAUGAACCAAAUCCAUAUACCAAAUCCAUGAACCAUAUCUAAGUUCAUAAACCAAGUUCAUACACCAAAUUCAUGAACCAUAUCCAAAUUCAUGAACCAAACCUCAUGAACCAAUACCCAAAUCUCAUCGUGAACCUUUUUUUACUCUGGCACAUAUACCUAGGGUAAAAAUUAAAUAUCGACUACCCCUAAUACAUAUACUUAGGGCUAUGUCAACCGUCUUAGCACAUAUAACUAAGGCGAAACAUCUCCAAAUUGACAGAGUUCUAAGACAUAUACUUAGAAUUCGGUCGAAUGAUAUCAACUUCAUUCGGACUCUAAUACAUAUACUUAGAGUUCAUCCGGCUAGCCCUAAUACAUAUACUUGGGGUCUAGUCAACCUUCUGCUCUAGCACAUAUACCUAGAGUGGAAGUCAAACCGUGCUCGACUAGUCCUAACCCAUAUACUUAGGGUCUAGUUAGCCUUUUGCUCUAGCACAUAUACCUAGAGUGAUAUCCUUACCCGAUCGAGCUUUAAUACAUAUACUUAGAGCUCAAAUCCGACUACCCCUAAUACAUAUACUUAGGGCUUAGUCAGACCUUCAUUCUAGCACAUAUAACUAGAGUGAAACUCGGUUAAUCCUGAUACAUAUACUCGGGAAUUAGCCACUCUCCACUUUCGGGUAAUUCGACCCACCUCAAUACAUAUACUUGAGGUCUGGUCACAUCUCCACCUUGGAACAUACAACCAAGGUGAAUAUAAUCGGACUCUAAGACAUAUACUUAGAGCCAGUUAGACUCUAAUACAUGGAGUUUAAUAUCGACUAGAUCUUAACACAUAUACUUAGGAUCUAGUUCGACCCACCUCAAUACAUAUACUUGAGGUCUGGUCACAUCCCCAUCUUGGAACAUAUAACCAAGGUGGACGUAAUCGGACUCUAAGACAUAUACUUAGAGCCAAUUAGACUCUAAUACACAGAGUCUAAUAUUGACUAGGUUUUAAUACAUAUACUUAGGACCUAGUCAAUCUCAAAUCCAACUGAAUCCUAAUACAUACACUUAGGAUUCAAUUUAUGUACAGUGGGGGUAUGCCCCUGCUUAAGCCAUGUAAACGGCAAAUCAUAUCAAUAAAAUUUUAUUUGCCUGUUUUGUCUCUUUUAUUAUCAGCAUUUAUAUUUGGUCUCUUAAUCGAGGGUUCCUUAACACCGAAGGUGUGGGGUAAUUAACAGCAGAUUCUUGAGUCUGUUGGAAGCCAUGAACCUAUAAUCCUGAUAUCAAAAUAAAACAUAAACAAAUUUUAUCUCUACCAUGAAUGACCACUCGCCCUAGAAACAACCUACGGCGGGGCCGGUUCGUUCGCGGCAGACAAGAGAGUGAGAGUGAGAGUGAUAGAUAAUGUGAGACUAUAACUAUAUUUGUGACAUUGUGAUAGUAUUAUCACGAUCUAUUUGAUCAUCGCAUU
rnacentral:lncRNA from 1 species